UGGGGAAUCUUGCGCAAUGGGCGAAAGCCUGACGCAGCAACGCCGCGUGAGCGAAGACGGCCUUCGGGUUGUAAAGCUCUGUCAGGAGGGACGAAGCCACUCGGGUGAACAGCCCAGAGGGUGACGGUACCUCCACAGGAAGCCCCGGCUAACUACGUGCCAGCAGCCGCGGUAAUACGUAGGGGGCGAGGGUUGUCCGGAAUCAUUGGGCGUAAAGCGCGUGUAGGCGGCCGACCAAGUCCGGUGUGAAAGCUCAGGGCUCAACCCUGAGUCUGCACUGGAAACUGGCCGGCUUGAGUCCGGAAGAGGAGACUGGAAUUCCUGGUGUAGCGGUGAAAUGCGCAGAUAUCAGGAAGAACACCGGUGGCGAAGGCGGGUCUCUGGGACGGUACUGACGCUGAGACGCGAAAGCGUGGGGAGCAAACA
rnacentral:rRNA from 1 species